GGAUUAGAUACCCUGGUAGUCCAUGCUGUAAACGAUGUGUGUUAGACGUUGGGAAUUAUUUUUCAGUGUCGCAGCGAAAGCAUUAAACACACCGCCUGGGGAGUACGACCGCAAGGUUAAAACUCAAAUGAAUUGACGGGGACCCGCACAAGUAGUGGAGCAUGUGGUUUAAUUCGAAGAUACGCGCAGAACCUUACCAACACUUGACAUGUUUGUCGCGACUUUAAGAAAUUAAAGUCUUCGGUUCGGCCGGACAAAACACAGGUGCUGCAUGGCUGUCGUCAGCUCGUGCUG
rnacentral:rRNA from 1 species